CUUAAGUCAGCAACAUCAAGAGCAACUGCAUUAUCUGGUUCCAGGGCAUGAUGGUUCCAACGCACAUUACCCCCAUAUGCUGACUGCACCAGCCCUGCGCUGCUGGAAAUGCGCUGGUCUCGGCCUAUCAGAGCUCUAGUGAGCGGUUCCGGCGGGUUAUCAGGAAGCAUUACUUCCCGCCUAGGCAUUCAAUGAAUUGCAUAAAUGCCAUCCACUGUGGCUAAAGGGCUCCUGCUCCAUCUGCAUCAUUUCCGAGGCUGUCAUUCGGCGUGACAUGUGUGCGCCGGGCCUCUCGCCGCCAUCUGGCAGCCUCUUGGAAAUCACAGCUCCCCCUGCACCCCCCAUCCCGUGCUCCAUCAGGAGCGGGGGCCUGAGCCAAGACCGUGGGUAAAGCAAGAUCGGGACUUAGGCGCGCCUGUGCGGUGACAGCCAGGAUUUAGUCGCCUCGAUUGCUUUCUGACAUGUUCAUAGCUCUUCCGGGCGUUACCUCUGCAGCCGUUGAAGCCGCAGGAGGCAAGAAGCAGAAAUUGCAUUUUCCACAGUGCACGCUUUGGGAAGGCCCAUUCUUCAGGUCUAGAGGCAACUACCUGGGAAGGUUCCAGCAGCUGCCACUGCCUCCAACGGCCUGCCCUGGCCAACUCCCCCAGGGGCGAUGUUGCCCGUCCCAGGCAAGAGGACUGUCACUCGGACAGACAGAGCAGCAAGAGUGUGCUCUCCUCUGCGGCCACUGAGUAGGCAAAUGGAAGUCCUCCCCUGAGAAUCCUGAAAAAUCCCAAGAGAAUUUCGCAUUUUACGGACAACUUAGCCACGAACAUUCCCACGGCGGCAGGGGUAGGUGUUGCCCCGAGCCAUGGCUCCCAAGUUUCGCCAUGUCAAGGAAUUUCCUGAUGGAUGUGGCAGGACCUGCCCAAUCUCAGGAGCUCCGAUCCACUUGCUUUGUGGUGAAGACAGGAAAAUGCAUUUUUAGUAAGUAUUCAUUCAGGGCUCUCUUGCAGGUGGUUCUCAGCUGUAGGUUAAGAAACCACGGCCACUGCACAGAGUCCCUUCCUCCUUCAUGGAAUCUCUCCCUGAG
rnacentral:lncRNA from 10 species